AGCCUUUUUCAGAAUUUUCAAGCAAUGAAAACAAUUGGUGAGAACAGUGGAACCCGAGAGUAUGUAGCAGAUAAAUUUUCUUUUUUUUACACUAAUUCUAUGAUAGUGACAACAAAGGGACUGGAUCAUGAACUUCCUAGAGUUUUGACUACACAAAUAAUUAUCGAUCUCUCAAGGAAUAGAUUUGAAGGUCAUAUUCCAAACAUUAUUGGAGAUCUCGUUGGACUUCGUACCUUGAACUUAUCCCAUAAUGUCUUGGAAGGUCAUAUACCAGCAUCAUUGCAAAAUUUAUCAGUACUCAAAUCAUUGGAUCUCUCAUCUAACAAAAUCAGCGGAGAAAUUCCGCAGCAGCUUGCAUCCCUCACAUUUCUUGCAGUCUUGAAUCUCUCUCACAAUCAUCUUGUUGGAUGCAUCCCUAAAGGAAAACAAUUUGAUACGUUUGAGAACAGUUCAUACCAAGGAAAUGUUGGAUUAUGAGGAUUGCCACCCUCAAGAGAUUGUGGCCGUGAUGAUAGGGUACCACAAGCGACAAUUCCAGUUGAGCUAGAUCAAGAAGAAGAAGAAGAUUCACCAAUGAUCAAUUGGCAGGCGGUUCUCAUGGGUUACGGUUGUGGACUUAUUAUUGGAUUGUCCGUAUAAUAUGUAAUGUCUUCAACUCAAUAUCCAAAAUGGUUUUCGAGGAUGGUUGUAAAAUUGGAAGACAAACUUAUUACAAGAAUGAAAAAGUAGAGGAAAAGAUAUUAGUGUAUAGUUACCUCCAGGUAUUCAACUUGAUCAUUGUCCUUCAGAAGAUUAUUUUUUAUAUAUCGAUGAAAUUAUCGACCUCCUUCAUCCUCAAAGCUCUUAACUUUAACUCUUCAUUUUUGUAAAUUUCAGGAUUCAAGAGUUCCGAGUUCCGAGUUGCUGGGGAUGCAGAUAAAGCCUUUUUAUCGUUCAUAGUUUGUAAUGUUUCCAUGAAGUGUUUCUUAUCCUAUGAAUAAAUAUUUUGUUUUCAUUUGUCUAUGGCAUGCAGCUAUGUUCCAUCACUAAAAACAUUGUAUUUCUCUCAACUCUUUUGUCACAUGAUAUCAUAACACAAACAAAGAACACUUGAAUCAAAACCUGGAAGAAACAUCAGGAAACCAUGAAUCAAAGUUGCAGUAGUCUACUAUAUUAACUUUUUUCGUUGAAGCACAACCGACAUAUCAUGAGAAAGAGACUGUGAUCUCAGAAAUGAGAAUUUACCAAUCCACAACCCUGCAGUAUCUACUGGAACUUUUUUCUGUCGCUUCUUCUUGCCCCAAUCUCAGGAACAUUUCAUUCUUGACUGGUCCUUGAUGCAAUAAAUUAAAUCGUGAGUGGAAUUUGUUAAUCUAGUAGCUAAUUAAUGCUCGAAGAAGAUGAAUGCUAAUUCAGGGACUUAGCCGAGAAUUAUAGCUGAAAGAGAAAUGUAGAAGAAGAAGAGAUUGAUCUUAUUUCAUGAAUGAAUAACAUUUUGCAAUCAUAGACAGAGGAAUGAAACUAAUGGCCUAACGAACACUCUGUGAAUAGUGAACAGUACUAACCCAUACCGUGAAGUCUCCAGGAUACAAAUAUUUGGCCUUCGAAAGCAAACUUUUUCUCUCUAAAUACAAGCUUUAUUUUCAUAGUUUCUGAUGUUUCAUCUUACAUUUUUUUAUUACUACCUGUUGUUUCUUUAGCCUCGAUUACUGUAUUAUCUUGUUGUUUUUUCUGCUUGUUGCUACUAUGCCUUCUUUUACAUCGAAAAUAACCUCUCUAACUUCAAGGUAGUGGUAAGGUCUGCGUACACAGUAUACUCCCAAGACAGCCAGGCCCCACUGUCUUCCAUCAGCAGCUCAAUUCUUGUUUCUGUCAAGUUGUAUGGUGUGUGUUAAGAGAGCAAAGCAAAGAUACUUUUUGUGACAUUCAAACAAAAUGCAUGUGUUAUUACAAGUGGUGGGACUUUGUGUUUGAAUCUUUCUAUGCUAUCUUAUUUAUCUUCCCUUCCAUCACUCGUAAACAUACAUUUCAAAGGGAUCAAAAUUGAAUCAAAUUAUUCUACAUGCCUAAAUUCCUUUAUUAUUGUGUUAUCAAAUAACUACAUCAACUCUAAAAUACUCAUAUAUAUGAGUAGUAAUUUUCAUUUGAAGAGUACUUUUAUGGAACUAUUUAGUUGUGUAAAUUUUAUUUCAAGAUAAGCAAAAGAAGUCGAUAUGUGAAUUUACUCCGAAAAUUUUAAGAAGUGACCUUCAUUUUAAAUUUUCUUUGGAACGAAAAAAUGGAUGGAUGGACCUAAGAUCGUGCUGAAAGACGGAGUCGAUGGACAACAUGUAAAUAUCAUAACUUUUACUAUUUUAAUUAACAUUUGAAUUGAGCUUGAUUUUCAUUGGAACAAACUCUAAUUCUUUUGAUAAAAAUUAAAUUUGCUAACAAAUACAAUGACGAAUGCUUUAACAUGUGUAUCCUAAGGAGGAGAGAAAGCAAAGUAAAAAAAUUAUUCUUGUUUUUUUGUUUUGUAAUAGAAAGUGAACCAAAACAAAGACCUUUUAUGUGACCUCUUCGUCUAUAAUAAGCACAUGUGAUUGUCAACUUCAAAUUGACAGAAAAUGACUACUUAACCAAUAGAGAUUUUUUUUUGCUUAAUUUGUGCUAUAUAUACGUCAUCAAAAUUGUUGAAUAGACACAAAAGCAAACAUUUCCUGAUUUCUUCACUGCCAACUUAAUUAGUUUUUGACCAUUUUAGUGAAGAAAUGGGUUGUGUAAAAGUUGUGUUUUUUAUGCUAUAUCCCUUUCUCUGUCAACUUGCUUUCUCCUCAUCCUCACCUCAUUUGUGCCCCCGAAGAUCAAGCUCUUGCUCUUCUACAAUUCAAGAACAUGUUUACCGUGAGACCUACUUCUUAUGGUUGUUACGACUAUACAGACCAAAGGAUGAAGUCAUAUCCAAGAACUCUUUUCUGGAACAAGAGCACCGAUUGCUGCUCAUGGGAUGGAGUUCAUUGUGACGAGACAACAUGACAAGUGAUUGAGCUUGAUCUCCGUUGCAGCCAACUUCAAGGCAAGUUUCGUUCCAAUAGUAGCCUCUUUCAACUCUUCAAUCACAAAAGGCUUGAUUUGUCUUAUAACGAUUUCUUUGAAUCGCUCAUUUCACCUAAAUUUGGUGAGUUCUCUAGAUUGACGCAUCUUGAUUUGUCGAGUUCACGUUUUACAGGUCUAAUCCCUUGUGAAAUCUCUCAUCUUUCUAAAUUAUACGUUCUUCGUAUAUGGACUGUAUUUCCAUAUGGCCUUAGACUUGGGCCUCACAAUUUUGAACUACUCCUUAAGAACUUGACUCAAUUAAGAGAUCUCGACCUUUACUCUGUGAACAUCUCUUCCACUAUUCCUCUGAAUUUCUCUUCUUAUUUAACAAAUUUACAGCUUCAACACACACAAUUUCGUGGGGUAUUUCCCGAAAGAGUUUUCCACCUUUCCGAUUUAGAAUUCCUUGAUUUAUCUCACAAUCCCCAGCUCACAGUUAGGUUUCCCACAACCAAAUGGAAUAGCAGUGCAUCACUCAUGUACUUAAAUCUCUAUGAUGUGAAUAUUAAUGGUAGGAUACCUGAAUCAUUUAGCCAUCUAACUUCACUUCAUAUGUUGAACAUGGGUAAUACUAAUCUGUCAGGGCCCCUUCCUAAACCUCUAUGGAAUCUCACCAACAUAGAGAGUUUGUUCCUUGGUAGUAACCAUCUUGAAGGACUAAUUUCCCUGUUAUCGAGAUUUGAAAAGCUCAAGGAAUUAUUACUUGGAAAUAACAAUUUUGAUGGCCGACUUGAGUUCUUAUCCUUUAACAGAAGCUGGAUGCAACUCGAUACCUUAGAUUUUUCGUCCAAUUACCUAACUGGUCCAAUUCCAUCCAACGUAAGUGGACUGCGAAACCUAAAACAGCUCUUCUUGUCAUCAAGCUACUUGAAUGGGACUAUACCUUCCUGGAUAUUCUCCCUUCCUUCACUGAUAGCGUUAGACUUAAGCAAUAACACUUUCAGUGGAACAGUUCAAGUCCAAAACAUUAAAUGUCGUUACUCUAAAUCAAAAUAAGCUGGAAGGUCCUAUUCCAAAGUCACUCCUAAACCAGCAGUUCCUACUAGGUCUUCUCUUUUCACACAAUAACAUCAGUGGACGUAUUGCUUCAGCUAUCUGCAAUCUGAAAACAUUGCAAGUAUUAGAUUUGAGAAGUAAAAUUUUGGAGGGAACAAUCCCACAAUGUUUGGGUGAGAUGAGUGCAGUUGAGAUUUUGGAUUUGAGCAACAAUAGUCUUAGUGGGACAAUUAAUACAACUUUUAGUAUUCGAAACCGACUCAACAUCAUUAAAUUGCAUAGUAAUAAGCUAGAGGGGAAAGUUUCACAAUCUUUGAUCAAUUGUAAAUAUUUAGAACUUCUUGAUUUAGGUAACAAUGAGUUGAAUGACACGUUUCCAAAAUGGUUGGGAGAGCUACCUCAUUUGCAGAUCUUAAAGUUGAGAUCAAAUAAGUUCUAUGGCCCUAUAAGGAUUGACAACUUGUUUGCUCAAAUUCGAGUCAUAGAUCUCUCAUCCAAUGGAUUUAGUGGAGAUUUACCAUUGAGUCUUUUUCAGAAUUUUCAAGCCAUGAAAACAAAUGGUGAGAACAAUGGAACCCGAGAGUAUGUAGCAGAUACAUUUUUUUUUUACUUACACUAAUUCUAUGAUAGUGACAACAAAGGGACUGGAUCAUGAACUUCCUGGAGUUUUGACUACACAAAUAAUUAUCAAUUUCUCAAUGAAUAGAUUUGAAGGUCAUAUUCCAAGCAUUAUUGGAGAUCUCGUUGGACUUCGUACCUUGAACUUAUCUCAUAAUGUCUUGGAAGGUCAUAUACCAGCAUCAUUGCAAAAUUUAACUGUACUCGAAUCGUUGGAUCUCUCAUCUAACAAUAUCAGUGGAGAAAUUCUGCUGCAGCUUGCAUCCCUCACAUUUCUUGCAGUCUUAAAUCUCUCUCACAAUUAUCUUGUUGGAUGCAUCCCCAAAGGAAAACAAUUUGAUACGUUUGAGAACAGUUCAUACCAAGGAAAUGAUGGAUUACGAGGAUUGCCACCCUCAAGAGAUUGUGGUCGUGAUGAUAGGGUACCACAAGAGACAAUUCCAGUUGAGCUAGAUCAAGAAGAAGAAGAAGAAGAUUCACCAAUGAUCAAUUGGCAGGCGGUUCUUAUGGGUUAUGGUUGUGGACUUGUUAUUGGACUGUCUGUAAUAUACGUAAUGUGGUCAACUCAAUAUCCAGCAUGGUUUUCGAGGAUGGAUUUAAAAUUGGAACACAGAAUUACUACGAGAAUGAAAAAGUACAAGAAAAGAUAUUAGUGAGUAGCGACCCCCAGGUAUUCAACUUGAUCUUUAUCUUUCUUAAGAUCAUUUUAUAUGUCAAUGUGUUUUCAACCUCCUUCAUCGUCAGAGCUCUUACCUUAAUUCUUUAUUUUUGAAAAUUGCAGGAUUCAAGUCUACUGAGUUGUGGGGGAUGCAGAUAAAAGUCUUUAUUUUUCAUAGUUUGUGGUGUCUCCAUAAAGUAUUUGUUAUACUAUGAAUAAAGACAUGACUUUUCUUCCUUUGAGACUCAACCAGAUUUUGUUUUCAAAUGUCUAUGGCAUAUAGAAAUAAACGGAAAUCGGACACAAACUUGAAUCUUUAAAUCAUUCAAUCAGAGUAUUUCACUCAACUCUUUCACAUAACACAAAUAUAGAACACUCGAAUUUAAGUUCAGAAACAUAAAAAUCUGUAGUUACAGAUUUCAGAAAUAUUCUUUUACAGACACAUGAUGGUCCUUUAUCAAAAGAUCGAAGGAACAUCAGGAAACCAUGGACCAAAGUUGCAGUCUGCUAUCUUUAACUUUUUUCAUUGAAGCAGUAGCAAUUAACAUAUAAUCUAGAUUCUAUUCAACCUCCUUUAUGAUAUUAGUAAGAUAAAUGAAACAGUGCUAAAUCAAGAAAUGAAGAAAGCUGUAAAGUAUUCCGCUGCUGCUUAUUAGAAUAGGCUCAGACUCUUUUGAGACAUUAGAUGGUGAACUGAUCAAAUGGACGAAAAAGGCCUAUUAUUGUGUUAAAAGGUGUAUUAGAAUAAUCUCAUAUCCAUUGGGAGGACUGUUUUGAGCCAUUAGAACCAGGUAAAAGAAUAAGUUCUGUCACAACAAAUUCUAGGAAAUAGACGCAUUAUUGAGCUUAUGCUCGAAAUCAAUUAAGGGUACGAAAAGUUCUGUCACAACAAAUUCUUAAAAGGGUAUAAUAUGCAUACACUUAUCCUAUCAAAACCUUCUUGCUUUUUUUUUUUUUUUACCUUUAAAGUUAAAGUCUAUACACAAAGUAACACUCUUAUCUUCUUUUUUUCUUAAUGCAAGACUUUGUUCAUACACCCAACCAAUUAUCAAACUACUUGAUUCAGAACAAUACAUGCCAUCCUGGAUAUCCUCCGUUCCAUCACUAAACUUUGAGGACUAUAACAAUGUGUUUCUUCCGUUCUACUCUCCGAGAAGACAAGAACAGCAGUCUCACUCUCACACUCACCUAUAAGUUCCAGGAAGAUACAAAAAAAUGUUUAAUCAGUGGUAUUGAAACUAUGAAGAACAUGCCAUGUAUGGACUUCUGCACUGUCUUCCAUCAGCAGGUCAAUUCUUGUGGAAAAUUGGCUCGAGCUGGUGCACUAUGUAGGCGCUGUAUUCAGAGUAGAUUUCCAGUCUAACCUUAAUGCAUUAGCAAAGUGACACUCCUAUUCUUAAGGUAUAAAGUUGUUAUGUUUCUUUCAAAGUUUACACACUCCUAUCCUAAACAAUUUUGUUGUGUGGUGGUCCUAUUCCUGGAAUCCAAUUAAGUUGGCAAAACAAAGAUAUUUUUUUGUCGAUAAUAACGUUGCACACAAAAUGCAUGUGUAAUGUGUUAUAUACAAGUGGUGGGACUUUGUGAUUUGACUUAAGAAUGUGAACUAUUGAUAGUUUCCGGCAUUCACUUGUGUGACACAUUGAAUGGGCAUAUGUGAUUCACAACUUCAAAUUGACUGAAAAUGACUACGUAACCAAUAGUAAAAUUCUCUUUGCUUAAUUUGUGUUAUAUAUACCUCAUCAAAAUUGUUGAAUAAACACACAAAGCAAAAUAUUUCUUGAUUUCUUCUCUACCAACUUAAUUUAGUUUUGAUCAUUUUUUAGUGCAGAAAUGGAUUGUGUAAAACUUGUAUUGUUUAUGCUAUAUACCUUUCUCGGUCAACUUAUUUUCUCCUUAUCCUUACCUCAUUUGUGCCCCGAAGAUCAAGCUCUUGCUCUUCUACAAUUCAAGAACAUGUUUCCCAUUAAUCCUAAUGCUUCUGAUUAUUGUUUUAAAUUUAAAGAGUUUCAUUCAUAUCCGAAAACUCUUACAUGGAAUAGUAGCACAGAUUGUUGCUCAUGGGAUGGAGUACAUUGUGACAAGAUGACGGGACAGGUGAUUGAGCUCAACCUCACUUGCAGCGGACUUCAAGGCAAGUUUCAUUCCAAAUUGUAGCCUCUUUCAACUUUCCAAUCUCAAAAGGAUUGAUUUGUCUUUUAAUAAUUUCACUGGAUCGCUCAUUUCACCUAAAUUUGGUGACUUCUCCAGUUUAACACAUCUUGAUCUAACAGUUACAAGUUUUUCGGGUCAAAUCCCUUCUGAAAUAUCUCAUCUUUCAAAAUUACACGAUCUUCGUAUCUCUAAUGUUUAUCCAUAUGAGCUUAGAUUCGGACCUCACAAUUUUGAAUUGCUCCUUAAGAACUUGACCCAAUUAAGAGAGCUCCACCUUCACGAUGUGAACAUCUCUUCCACCAUUCCUCUGAAUAUCUCUUCUUAUUUAACAAAUCUACGGCUUCCAUUAACAGAGUUACGUGGGGUAUUUCCCGAAAGAGUUCUCCACCUUUCCGAUUUAGAAUUCCUUGAUUUAUCAGAAAAUCCCCAGCUCACUGUUAGGUUUCCCACAACCAAAUGGAAUAGCAGUGCAUCACUCAUGUACUUAAAUCUCUAUGAUGUGAAUAUUAAUGGUAGGAUACCUGAAUCAUUUAGCCAUCUAACUGCACUUCAUGACUUGAACAUGGGUUAUUCUACUCUGUCAGGGCCUAUUCCUAAACCUCUAUGGAAUCUCACCAACAUAGAGAGUUUGUUCCUUAGUGAUAACUAUCUUGAAGGACCGAUUUCCCAGUUCUCGAGAUUUGGAAAGCUUAGGGUGUUAUACCUUGGAUAUAACAACUUCGAUGGCUGACUUGAGUUCUUAUCCUUUAACAGAAACUGGACGCAACUUGAAGUAUUAGAGUUUUCAUUCAAUAACCUAACUGGUCCAAUUCCAACUAAUGUAAGAGGACUACAAAACCUACAAUGGCUCAAAUUGUCAUCAAACCACUUGAAUGGGACUAUACCUUCCUGGAUAUUCUCCCUUCCUUCACAGACAGUGUUAAACUUGAGAAAUAACCCUUUCAGUGGAAAAAUUCAGGAGUUCAAGUCCAACACAUUGUUGGAAGUUGAUCUAAGACAAAAUCAACUAGAAGGUCCUUUACCAAAUUCACUCCUAAAACAGCCAAACCUAAAAUUUCUUCUCCUUUCACACAAUAAUAUUAGUGGACAGAUUGCUUCAACUAUCUGCAAUCUGAAAACACUAACAGCUUUGGACUUAGGAAGUAACAAUUUGGAGGGAACAAUCCCACAAUGUUUGGUUGAGAUGAAUGAAUACCUUUGGAAUUUGGAUUUGAGCAACAACAGUCUUAGUGGGACUAUCAAUACAAAUUUUAGUGUUGGAAACGAUCUCACGAUCAUUAGCUUGCAUGGGAAUAAGCUAACGGGGAAAGUCCCACGAUCUUUGAUCAAUUGCAAGUACUUGACACUUCUUGAUCUAGGUAACAAUCAGUUGAAUGACACAUUUCCAAACUGGUUGGGACACCUACCUGAUUUGAAGAUUUUAAGCUUGAGAUCAAAUAAGUUUCAUGGUCCCAUUAAAUCUUCAGGGAAUACAAACUUGUUUGCGCGGCUUCAAAUUCUGGAUCUAUCAUCCAAUGGAUUUAGUGGUAAUUUACCAAUAAGUCUUUUUGGGAAUUUGCAAGCCAUGAAGAAAUUGAUGAGCGUACAAGAACCCCAGAGUAUGUUUCUGAUCAAUAUGCUGGUUAUUAUGAUUAUUUGAUGACAAUUACAACAAAGGGGCAAGAGUAUGAUUGUGUUCAAAUUUUGGAUUCUAACAUGAUUAUCGAUCUCUCAAAGAACCGAUUUGAAGGUCAUAUUCCAAGCAUUAUUGGAGAUCUCGUUGAACUUCGUACCUUGAACUUAUCUCAUAAUGUCUUGGAAGGUCAUAUACCAGCAUCAUUGCAAAAUUUAUCUGUACUCGAAUCAUUGGAUCUCUCAUCUAACAAAAUCAGCGGAGGAAUUCCACCACAACUUGCAUCCCUCACGUUUCUUGCAGUCUUAAAUCUCUCUCACAAUCAUCUUGUUGGAUGCAUCCCCAAAGGAAAACAAUUUGAUACGUUUGAGAAUAGCUCAUACCAAGGGAAUGAUGGGUUAUGUGGACUGCCAUUCUCAAAACAUUGUGGUGGUGAUGGUAGGGUACCACAAGCGACAAUUCCAGCUGAGCAAGAUCAAGAAGAAGAAGAAGAUUCACCAAUGAUCAGUUGGCAGGCGGUUCUCAUGGGUUACGGUUGUGGUCUAGUUAUUGGACUGUCUAUAAUAUACAUAAUGUUGUCAACUCAAUAUCCAACAUGGUUUUCGAGGAUGGUAUUGAAAUUGGAACACAGAAUGAUUACGAGAAUGAAAAGGCACAAGAAAAGAUAUUAGUGAGUAGCGACCUCCAGGUAUAUAACUUGAUCUAUUUUAUUUUAUUUCUAUUUUUUUUUACCCUCCGUAGGAGCUCCCACCCCUUUUGCUCCCUUGGUGACUCGAACUCGCAACCUUCGGGUUGGAAGUGAGAGGUGCUUACCAUCCGAGCAACUCCCUCUCGUCAUUCAACUUGAUCAUUAUCCUUCAGAAGAUUAUUUUUUAUAUAUCGAUGUAAUUUCUACCUACUUCAUCCUUUAAGCUCUUAACUUUAAUUCUUCAUUUUUGAAAAUUGCAGGAUUCAAGUCUACUGAAUUGCUGGGAUGCAAUAAGACGAGUUUUUGUUUACCAAUAGUCUGUUAUAUAGUAUGUAGUAAUUUAUUCAGCCUGAUUAUUAGUUAGCUACUUCAUUUCGACUGCAAUGUUCAGUUCAUAAAUUUAUGAAGUUAUCUUAUCUUUUUGUUUUAAUUACAUCAAUAAUUUCAAUAGCAAGCUAAACGUGUACACCUUUUAAGACUCUCCUAAAAAUUGGCUUAAAUAUCCUUAUGGUGUUAAAGAUUGCUCUAAAGUCACCACUCCUUGUUAGUCGAAAAUCACACUUGUCUAAUUUCAAAUGUUUAUAUGUAAAAAGAAUCGAAGAUAUGCCUUUUUUUCUCAACUUUGAUCUGUAGAGGUAUUGAUCUUGUCGCCUCUGCUCUCUGUGCGUUCCUAUUUCUUAAUAAAUCUCUGUGACAUUAGAUACAGGCCUUGUACACCAUACCUUGUAGGAAGACAAUAACGGAUUAGUUCAAGGAGUACUAAAAGUUCUGUUAAAGAAAAUGCUUAAAAACUACAUAUGACAUCUUGUAUUAUAAAGAGAAUGCAAGCUUGAGUCUACUUCAAAUGAUCAUAAUAUAUCGGAUACUCAUUAAAUGAGCAUUCUCAAUAACAGAGCUUGGAUCAAAUCUAUAUUAUGUGCACAGAAUUAUGAAGCAUGAAUACUAGUUCACCUCAACUUUUUCCUUUUCUUUUUGCUAAGAAAAGGCAUUUUGUUGGGUUAUACACAUUUACAAGGGUGAAAAAGAUGCCACAAUUUACACCAUCCUGUAUCAAACAGUCCAGAAUCGAGACGAAGAUAACUAGCUUUAUAAAAAAUUAUUGAUAAAAAUUAUUGAUCUAGGAAAAAGAUGCAUUCUUGAGCUUAUGCUCGAAACUAAUUAAGGGAUAAUUCUCAAAGGAGUACGAAAAGUUCUGUUAUAGGAAGUUUCGUUCAUAACGUUCAAGAAUUUGAAUUACUCUGUGGGAGUAUCAAUUUGGAGGGAACAAUCCCACAAUGCCUGGGUGAGAUGAAUGAAUACCUUUGGAAUUUGGAUUUGAGCAACAACAGUCUUAGUGGGACAAUCAAUAUAAAUUUUAGUAUUGGAAACUCUUUCAGGGUCAUUAGCUUGCACGGGAAUAAGCUAACAGGGAAAGUCCCACCAUCUUUGAUCAAUUGCAAGUAUUUGACACUUCUUGAUCUAGGUAACAAUAAGUUGAAUGACACAUUUCCAAACUGGUUGGGAAACCUACCUGAUUUGCAGAUUUUAAGCUUGAGAUCAAAUAAGUUUCACGGUCCCAUUAAAUCUUCAGGGAAUACAAACUUGUUUGCGCAGCUUCAAAUUCUGGAUCUAUCAUCCAAUGGAUUUAGUGGUAAUUUACCAAUAAGUCUUUCUGGGAAUUUGCAAGCCAUGAAGAAAAUUGACGAGAGUACAAGAACCCCAGAGUAUGUUUCUGAUCAAUUUGCUGGUUAUUAUGAUUAUUUGAUGACAAUUACAACAAAGGGACAAGAUUAUGAUUGUGUUCAAAUUUUGGAUCCUAACAUGAUUAUCGAUCUCUCAAAGAACAGAUUUGAAGGUCUUAUUCCAAGCAUUAUUGGAGAUCUUGUUGGACUUUGUACCUUGAACUUAUCUCAUAAUGUCUUGGAAGGUCAUAUACCAGCUUCAUUGCAAAAUUUAUCAGUACUCGAAUCAUUGGAUCUCUCAUCUAACAAAAUCAGCGGAGAAAUUCCACAACAGCUUGCAUCCCUCACAUUCCUUGCAGUUUUAAAUCUCUCUCACAAUCAUCUUGUUGGAUGCAUCCCCAAAGGAAACCAAUUUGAUACGUUUGAGAACAGUUCGUACCAAGGGAAUGAUGGAUUAUGAGGAUUGCCACCCUCAAGAGACUGUGGCCGUGAUGAUAGGGUACCACAAGAGACAAUUCUAGUUGAGCUAGAUCAAGAAGAAGUAGAUGAUUCACCAAUGAUCAGUUGGCAGAAGGUUCUCAUGGGUUACGGUUGUGGUCUAGUUAUUGGAUUGUCUGUAAUAUACAUAAUGUGGUCAACUCAAUAUCCAGCAUGGUUUUCGAGGAUGGAUUUAAAAUUGGAACACAAAAUUACUACGAGAAUGAAAAGGCACAAAAAAAAGAUAUUAGUGUGUAGCGACCUUCAGGUAUUCAACUUGAUCUUUAUCUUUCUUAAGAUUAUUUUUUAUAUAUCAAUGUAUUUUCGACCUCCUUCAUCCUCAAAGCUCUUACCUUUAAUUCUUCAUUUUUGAAAAUUGCAGGAUUCAUGUCUACAAAGUUUCUGAAGAUUAAGAUAAAAAGCCUCUAUCUUUCAUUUGUCUAUGGCAUGUAGAAAUAAAUUCGACUGAUAAAUAGAAGUCGGACAUAAAGUUGAAUCUUUGGAUCAAUCAGAUGAUAUGUGUCAUCACUAAAAACGUAGUAUUUCACUCAACUCUUUCACAUAACAUCAUAACACAAACAUAGAACACUCGAAUUUAAGUUCAAAAACAUAAAAAUCUGAAGUUACCGAGUUCGGAAUAUUUUUUUUCAGAUUCAUGAUGGUCCUUCAUCAAAAGAUCAAAGAAACAUUACCAGGGACCAAAGUUACAGUUUUCUAUCUUUAACUCUUUUCAUUGAAGCAGCAGCAAAAAGAUUUGCAUUAUUCUCUACUCCCUGAGCCUCACAUAGACAACAUCACGUGUUUUCAACUGGAAUCUGCAUUCUUUGAAGAGUUGGAGAAAGAGCCUUCAACUCUUCCCAUCUAAGUCUCUGAUGACAGAGUUACCCGAUAUCUCUAUUGGUGGAAGGUAGACGGUACCGGUUGAAUUAAUCGAAUAGACUCAAGUUGACCUGAGCAUCACUGUUAUACAACAACAAACUAUGCCUCAGCCCCAAACAAAAACUUGCAUAGAGACCUGCAAUAAUGUUCGAAGCCCAAAAUAAGAUAGACAUAAACACACAAUUGAGUGAUAUAAUUUCUAGUGAUCGAAAUCCAUAUGGAUUUCAAACAUCAUUUAGGAAGAAAUCAAGCAGAAGCGCUUGACUAUAGGUGAGGUUUAUCGUGAUCAACUAUUGUUCAGAUUCAUUAAUUAGCAAACUGCUCCACAAUUUCAAAGUUUCGGGGCAAAGAAAAAGAUUCAUAAAAACAAAAGGGAAUACCUCGCCAAACAGACUUAGGAACCAGGUUUGUCAAGAUAUCACUGCAGCUUUCUUUACGCUGUGCUUUAAUCUCUGUGCAAAAUCCAUAUGCAGGAUCCUUUUAACUGAUUUUGAUGAGUCGAGAUUUCACAAAAAUGUAUCUGUCAAACUAUGACUUAGCUGAUGCGGCAGUUAUCAGCUCCACUAAAUAUACUUGUGGGCUGAAACCUUGUGUAUUCCAGCAUCUAACAUUGCUUUUCUCAAGGCAGCAGCAUAAUCCCACCUCUCUGCGCCAGCACAAAUGAUUCGGUUGCGACUCAAGCAGUAGUUGUGAUACUUCAUAUCCCAAUUCAAUAGCUCCAUGAAGUCUACAAGCACCCAUCAGAGCCCCCAAGACAGUAAAGGCAUCAGCUUCAAACAAGAUAAUGUUCCAUCUUAGCUACAAGUCAAAAUUCAUGAGACAUCGCUUCAAACAAUUUAAAACUGAAAUCGACAAGCUUGGCAUACACACAAUUAAGCUGAUAGAACAGACACAAAAGUAAUCUCAUUUGGUUGCAGCCCCUUUGCCCUCAUCUUCUCAUACAUCGUUAAUGCCUACUUCUCUCUUCUAAGAAAAGGGUUGUAGAUUAUUUGUGAUACAUUAAUUUCUAUUCGACCUCCUUUAUGAUGCAAAUAACAUUAAUGAAAGGCAUAAAACAGUACUAAAUUAAGACAGGGAGAUUUGAUAUAUAGUUUAGAGAAUAUUUGGGCCUCUUGAAGUGUAACAGCCCAAAGCACAAAACAUUGAAGACCCAAACCAGCAAAACAAAAGAAAAUCAGAAUCAGACAUAAAGUUGAAUCUUUAGAUCAUUCAAUCAGACGAUAUGUGCCAUCACUAAAAACAUUGUAUUUCACUCAACUCUUACACAUAACACAAACAUACAACACUCGACUUUAAGUUCAGGAACAUAAAAAUCUGUAGUUACAGAGUUUGAAGAUAUUUUUCUACCGACUCAUGAUGGUCCUUCAUCAAAAAAUGGAAGAAACAUCAGGAAAACACAGAAAAUCUAGUAUCCAACACGGCUUCAGAAGGAGAAUCUUCUGUUACUAUCAUCAAUGAAUUCAGUAUUACAAACUUCAGGCCUUAAGAACUGAAAUACAGGUGCUCGGAAAAUUGAUUUAGGCUGUAUAUGGAUGAUAUACAGCGGAAAGGGACGACAUAGGGUUCAUAUACAGUAGUAAUAUACGCUUGGUAUAUAUUCAGGUUUUCAAGGGUAAAAAUAGGGCCAAUGCCCAAACACAACCUGCAGCAGGCCCAAGAAGGGCCCAAAUUCAAUUUCUCCUUCACUCUUAACCUAUUUAACUGUGAUUAUUUACUGUUAGCUUUUUAUUAACUCUAACUUUAAAUAACUUAAUUAAAUACCCAAAAGAUGAACUAUAUUAUUUCUGUUAGUUUAUUUUAAUAUAAUUCAUUUUUUAUCAACUUUCAUACUUUUAUUGAAUAUAUUUAGUCAAAACUUUUUAUUUAUUCUUCAAUUAAUUUAAAAUCGUUUUCAUACUUUUAGUUAAUCAAAUCGGUUUAAAUUAUUAUUUUAAAAUGAUUCAAAUAAAUUUUAAUUAAUCUAGUUUUGUUAAAAUACUAAUCACUUGUAAUUAAAUUCAAAUAUUUUAAUUAAGGUCCCCCUUUCUAAAAAAAAUCAAAAAUUGUUCUUUGUUUAACUAUUUUUUUCAAGUUAAUAUUAAAAGUCAUUUUCAUAAUCACUUCCCAAAAAAUAGUCAAAAAAAUAUUUUAACCAAGUUGUAGGAUAACCGCGUGUUAGCGGAUGCUUCAAAUGCCUUAAAAACCUUCUUGAAGCGUAAAUAAGAACCUCUUACCCAUUUUCUCUAAAUUUUUAAAGACUUAAUCUGUUAGAGUCUUUUUAAAUUAUAAGUUUUUUUGUAAUUUCUCUAAAAAAUAAAGUAGCGACUCUUUUCUAAGUAUUUUUCUCAAAUUGUCUUAUACUUAAAGCAUUUCAAAAGUAAUUUUUCUAAAGAUAGUCAAAUUACAAUAUAUAUAACAUUUAGAUCAUUCGAUCAGAUGAUAUUUGUCAUCACUAAAAACAUUGUAUUCACUCAACUCGUUCACAUGACAUCAUAAUAAAAACAUAGAGCACUCGACUUUAUGUUCAGAAACAUAAAUUUGUAGUUACAGAGUUCGAAAAUAUUUUUUACAGACUCAUCGAAAGAUCAAAGAAACAUCAGGAAACCAUGGACCAAAGUUGAAGUCUUCUAUCUUUAACUAUUUUCAUUGUAGCUUAUAUCAUAAAAAAAUUAACUCAAAGGAGAUUUGGACUCAACUUCAACUUCCUGUGUAUAAUAUUUCAAGAAUAGUAAAACAAGUUGAUAUCUAAAUUUACUUUGAAAUGGCCUUCAUACUUGGAACUAUUAAUUACUGCAGAACUUUAAUCACUCAUUAAUGUAUAAAACAUGUACCCUAUUGAGUUUUCUUAUUGGGAGAAACGGUAGUCUAUCAAUUAGUAAUGACUUUCCAAUUUUUUGGUAGUUUAUCAAUAAAUUAGUAAUGACUUUCCUACAUAAAUUAAAUGAAUACAUGGAUUCUUUAUUACCACAAAUUUUUUAAAAUAACAGUUUUUUUUUUUAAAGUAAGGAAAAAAUGGUCAAUUAAUUUUGUACAGGUAUUUCGUAAUCCAACUUGGCACUUUGAAGCUUCACAAUUUUAAUUGAGCUUUAUAUUUUCAUUGGAACGAACUUUAAUUCUUUAACAUGUGUAUCUUGAGGAGAAGAGAAAGGGAAAGUUCUGAGUGGGGUUAAGGGAACCAAAACAAAUACCUUUUAUGUGACAUUUUUGUCUAUAUAUAAUAAUGUAUCAGACAAAAUGCAUUUGUUAUAUACAAGCGGUGGGACUUUGUUACGUUGUUGCUUUCAUUUGAACAUAUUGAAUGUGCAUAUGUGAUUGUCAACUUCAAAUUGACUGAAAAUGCUUAAUUUAUGCUAAUCUCUAUCUCAUCAAAAUUAUUGAAUACACACACAGAGCAAAUAUCUUCUCUACCAACUUAAUUAGUUUUGAUCAUUUUUAGUGCGGAAAUGGGUUAUGUAAAACUUGUAUUUUUUAUGUUAUAUACCUUUCUCUGUCAACUUGGUAUCUCCUCAUCCUUACCUCAUUUAUGCCCCGAAGAUCAAGCUCUUGCUCUUCUACAAUUUAAGCACAUGUUUACCAUUAAUCCUAAUGCUUCUAAUUUUUGUCGUGAAAUAAUAACAGAUCAAGAGAUUCAGUCAUAUCCAAAAACCCUUUUAUGGAACAAGAGCACAGAUUGUUGCUCAUGGGACGGAGUUCAUUGUGACGAGAUGACGGGACAAGUAAUUGAGCUUGAUCUCAGUUACAGCACACUUCAAGGCAAGUUUCAUUCCAAUAGUAGCCUCUUUCAAUUAUCCAAUCUCAAAAGGCUUGAUUUGUCAUGUAAUAAUUUCACCGGAUCGCUCAUUUCACCUAAAUUUGGUGAGUUCUCUAGCUUGACGCAUCUUGAUUUGUCAGGUACAGGUUUUACAGGUCUAAUGCCAACAGAAAUCUCUCACCUUUCUAAAUUACACGUUCUUCGAUUCAGUGGUCUAUAUGACCUUAGUCUUGGGCGUCACAAUUUUGAACUGCUCCUUAAAAACUUGACCCAAUUAAGAGAGCUCAACCUUGACUAUGUAAACAUCUCUUCCACAAUUCCUCAGAAUUUCUCUUCUUAUUUAAAAAAUCUACGGCUUCCAUACACAGAUUUAUGUGGGGUAUUGCCCAAAAGAGUUUUCCACCUUUCCGAUUUAGAAUUCCUUGAUUUAUCAUCCAAUUCUCAGCUCACUGUUAGGCUUCCCACAACCAAAUGGAAUAGCACUGCAUCACUCAUGUACUUACGUCUCUAUGACGUGAAUAUUACUGAUAGGAUACCUGAAUCAUUUAGCCAUCUAACUUCAUUGCUUGUAUUGGACAUGAGUGAUUGUAAUCUGUCAGGGUCUAUUACUAAACCUCUAUGGAAUCUCACCAACAUAGAGUUGUUGGACCUUGGUAAUAACCAUCUUAAAGGAUCAAUUUCCCGGUUAUCGAGAUUUGGAAAGCUCAAGGACUUAUCACUUAGAAAUAACAACUUUGAUGGCCAACUUGAGUUCUUAUCCUGUAACAGAAGUUGGACCCAACUUAAAUGGCUAGAUUUUACAUCCAAUUUCCUAACUGGUCCAAUUCCAUCCAACGUAAGUGGACUACAAAAUCUACAAUCACUCUACUUGUCAUCAAACAACUUGAAUGGGACUAUACCUUCCUGGAUAUUCUCCCUUCCUUCACUGUCAGAGUUAGAGUUGAACAAUAACACUUUCAGUGGAAAAAUUCAGGAGUUCAAGUCCAAAACAUUGUCUCAAGUUGAUCUAAAACAAAAUCAACUAGAAGGUCCUUUACCAAAUUCACUCCUAAACCAGCCACUCCUAACAUAUCUUCUCCUUUCACACAAUAAUAUCAGUGGACAGAUUGCUUCAACUAUCUGCAAUCUGAAAGAAUUGACUGUGCUAAAUUUGAGAAAUAAUAAUUUGGAGGGAACAAUCCCACAAUGCCUGGGUGAGAUGAAUGAAUACCUUUGGAAUUUGGAUUUGAGCAACAACAGUCUUAGUGGGACAAUCAAUAUAAAUUUUAGUAUUGGAAACUCUUUCAGGGUCAUUAGCUUGCACGGGAAUAAGCUAACAGGGAAAGUCCCACCAUCUUUGAUCAAUUGCAAGUAUUUGACACUUCUUGAUAUAGGUAACAAUCAGUUGAAUGACACAUUUCCAAACUGUUGGAAACCUACCUGAUUUGCAGAUUUUAAGCUUGAGAUCAAAUAAGUUUCACGGCCCCAUUAAAUCUUCAGGGAAUACAAACUUGUUUGCGCAGCUUCAAAUUCUGGAUCUAUCAUCCAAUGGAUUUAGUGGUAAUUUACCAAUUAGUCUUUUUGGGAAUUUGCAAGCCAUGAAGAAAAUUGACGAGAGUACAAGAACCCCAGAGUAUGUUUCUGAUCAAUUUGCUGGUUAUUAUGAAUAUUUGACCACAAUUACAACAAAGGGACAGGAUUAUGAUUCUGUUCGAAUUUUGGAUUCUAACAUGAUUAUCAAUCUCUCAAAGAACAGAUUUGAAGGUCAUAUUCCUAACAUUAUUGGAGAUCUCGUUGGACUUCGUACCUUGAACUUAUCUCAUAAUGUCUUGGAAGGUCAUAUACCAGCAUCAUUGCAAAAUUUAUCUGUACUCGAAUCAUUGGAUUUCUCAUCUAACAAAAUCAGCGGAGGAAUUCCACCACAACUUGCAUCCCUCACAUUUCUUGCAGUCUUAAAUCUCUCUCACAAUCAUCUUGUUGGAUGCAUCCCCAAAGGAAAACAAUUUGAUACGUUUGAGAACACUUCCUACCAAGGGAAUGAUGGGUUACGUGGAUUGCCACUCUCAAAACACUGUGGCGGUGAUGAUAGGGUACCACAAGCAAUAACUCCAUCAGAGCUAGAUCAAGAAGAAGAAGAAGAUUCACCAAUGAUCAGUUGGCAAGCGGUUCUCAUGGGUUACGGUUGUGGACUUGUUAUUGGACUGUCCGUAAUAUACAUAAUGUUGUCAACUCAAUAUCCAACAUGGUUUUCGAGGUUGGUUGUGCAAUUGGAACACAGAAUUACUACGAGAAUGAAAAGGCACGAGAAAAGAUAUUAGUGAGUAGCUACCUUCAAGUAUUCAACUUGAUCUUUAUCUUUCUUGAAGUCAUUUUUUAUAUAUCAAUGUAUUUUCGACCUCCUUCAUCCUCAAAGCUCUUACAUUUAAUUCUUCAUUUUUGAAAAUUGCAGGAUAAAGUUUCUGAAGAUGCAGAUAAAAAGCCUUUAUCUUUCAUAGUUUGUGAUGUUUCCAUAAAGUAUUUGUUAUCCUAUGAAUAAAAACAUGACUUUCCCUUCCUUUGAGACUACAUACCAUAAAGUCUAUGGCAUGUAGAUAUAAAUUCGACUGAUAAACAGAAACCGGACAUAAACUUAAAUCUUUAGAUCAUUUAAUCAGAUGAUAAUACGUGUCAUCACUAAAAACAUAGUAUUUCACUCAACUCUUUCACAUGACAUCAUAACACAAACAUAGAACACUCUACUUUAAGUUCGGAAACAUAAAAAUCUGAAGUUACAGAGUUUGAAAAUAUAUUUUUUCCGAUUCAUGAUGGUCCUUCAUCAAAGGAUCAAAGAAACAUUAGGAAAAAUAUUUGCAUUAUUCUCUACUGCCUGAGCCUCACAUAGACAACAUCAUGUGUUUUCAACUCGAAUCUACAUUCUUUGAAGAGCUGAAGAAAGAACCUUCAACUCUUCCCAUCUAAAUCUUGGAUGAUAGAGUUACCCGAUAUCUCUAUUGGUGGAAGGUAGACGGUACCAGUUGAAUUAAUUGAAUAGAACACAAGUUGACCCAAGCAUCACUGUUAUACAAUAACAAACUACGCCUCAGCCCCAAAAAAUAACUUGCAUAGAGACCUGCAAUAAUGUUCAAACCCCAAAAUAAGAUAGACAUAAACAUAUAACUGAGUGAUAGAAUUUCUAGUGAUCGAAAUCCAUAAGGAAUUCAAACUUCAUUUAGGAAGAAAUCAAGCAGAAGCGCUUGCCUAUAGGUGAGCUUUAUUGUGAUCAACUAUUGUUCAGAUUCAUUAAUUAGCAAACCGCUGCAUAAUUUUGAAGUUUCGGGGCAAACAAACUUUGGAACCAGAUCUGUCAAGCUAUGACUUAGUUGAUUUUGAUGAGUCGAGAUUCCAUCACCAAGAUGCGGCAGUUAUCAGCUCCACUAAAUAAAACUGUGGGCUGGAACCUUGUGUGUAUUCCAGCAUCUAACAUUGCUUUUCUCAAGGCAUCAGCAUGAUCCCACCUCUCUGCACCAGCAUAAAUGCUUGAGAGUUGCAUAUAACACCCUGAAUGCUUGAGAGUUAUGCUACUUCAAUAGCUCCAUGAAGUCUACAAGCACCCAUCAGAUCCCCCAAGACAGUAGCAUCAGCUUCAAAAGGCAUCUUCUUUAGUCUUCCUGCAGUUUCCCAGCUCUCCCUAAGAGAUCAACCACACAACCAUAAGUUGAAUCUUUAGAUCAUUCAAUCAGGUGAUAUGUGCCAUCACUAAAAACAUUGUGUUUCACUCAACUCUUUCACAUAACACAAACAUACAACACUCGACUUUAAGUUCAGGAACAUAAAAAUCUGUAGUUACAGAGUUCGAAGAUAUCAUUAAUGCGUGCUUCUCCCUUCCAUUCAAGCUGGGGAAGAAAUCAUAACACGACCAUCGCAUCAAUUACCUUUGAAGCAUAUAUCAAACAACCCAUAAAAUGAGAUCAAUGCGGUCGUCAGAAGUUGAAGCAUAUGUUCUGUAACAGCCCAAAGCACAAAACAAAAGAAAAUCAGAAUAAGAAUCAGAAAUAAAGUUGAAUCUGAAUCGUUAGAUCAUUCAAUCAGACGAUAUGUGCCAUCACUAAAACCAUUGUAUUUCACUCAACACGUUCACAUAACACAAACAUAGAACACUCGACUUUAAGUUCAGGAACAUAAAAAUCUGUAGUUACAGAGUUUGAAGAUAUUUUUCUACAGACUCAUGAUUGUCUAUAAUAAGGUAUCACACAAAAUGCAUGUAUUUUUACAAAGUGAUUGUGUUAUCAAAUAACUACAUGAACUCUAAAUACUCAUACAUAAGUAGUGAUUAUCAUUUAAAGAGCACUUUCAUGGAACUUUUUAAUUGUGCAAAUUUUAUUUCAGGAGAAGUUAAAAAAAGAAAAGGCGAAUUUGUGAAUUUACUCCGAAAAUUUUAAAAAGUGACCUUCAUUUUUUAAUUUUCUUUUGUACAAAAAUGGACUAAUGGACCUGAGAUCAUGCUGAAAGUAUAACUUUACAUUUUAAUAAACAUUUGACAGAAAGCAAAGUAGAAACUUUCUUCUCUUCUUUUGUUUUGUAAUAGAAAGGCAAAGUUAUGGGUGGGAGUGGGGGCAGGGUUGUUAAAGGAGUAAGAAAAGUUCUGUCACAGCAACCAACACUAUAUUAUCCUAACCAGUCAAUAUCUUUUUAGAAUUUUGACUUGAAAUGUCUUUUCUCAAAGUAUAUACGUCAAUUAUUACUUUAUUCUUAAUCAAACUUUUUGAAUUUCAGCAGAACUGAUUAUAUCAAUGCAAUAAUUGAAGGUGAGGGGUUCCAAACAAGUACUGCUGCAACAUAAGGUUGAUGUAAUUUAUUUUGAACUCACCAAAGUUGAGGAAAAUAAGGUUUCUUGAAGGAGUAGCAUUGAGAAUGUGAAACUUUGUUCAUACACCCAACCGACAUAACAACUUUCUGAUUUAUUCAAUCAUGGUUAUCAAAUGCAGCUCAUACCUAUAGAUUAUCUCCAAAAUAGCUUUCUACUUCAUCACAUCCAGUUCCAAAAUUGUGAAAAUCUGAAUCUGGAAAAGCAGGUUACUGAUCUAUUAUUUUGUUCACUUACAGUAUUAGCCAAUCGUGGAUUUAUCAAAAUAGUACUUUUACUUGUCCCAAUUUUUAAUAAAAAGAAGAAGAGAAAGGUGUGUGUAAAGAGAAUCAAAACAAAGAACUUUUUUGUGAACUAUUGAAUGAAAAUGACCUGGAAUUGAUUACUCCAAAGCAACAACUAAACUUCUUUGCUUAGUUUGUGCUAUAUAUAUCUCAUCAAACUUACUAUAGACACAGAGCAAGCAUUUCUUGAUUUCUUCUCUAUCAACUUAAUUAGUUUUGAUCAUUUUAGUGCAGAAAUGGGUUGUGUAAAACUUGUAUUUUUUAUGCUAUAUACCUUUCUAUGUCAACUUGCUUUCUCCUCAUCCUUACCUCAUUUGUGCCCCAAAGAUCAAGCUCUUUCUCUUCUACAAUUCAAGCACAUAUUUACCAUUAAUCCUAAUGCUUCUGAAUAUUGUUACGACAUAACAGACCAAGAGAUUCAGUCAUAUCCACGAACUCUUUUAUGGAACAAGAGCACAGAUUGUUGCUCAUGGGAUGGAGUUCAUUGUGACGAGACGACAGGACAAGUGAUUGAGCUUGAUCUCCGUUGCAGCCAACUUCAAGGCAAGUUUCAUUACAACAGUAGCCUCUUUCAACUCUUCAAUCUCAAAAGGCUUGAUUUGUCUUGCAAUAAUUUCUCCGGAUCGCUCAUUUCACCUAAAUUUGGUGAGUUCUCUAACUUGAGGCAUCUUGAUUUGUCGCGUUCAAAUUUUACAGGUCUAAUCCCAGUUGAAAUCUCGCACCUUUCUAAACUACACGUUCUUCGUAUAGGUGAUCAAUAUGAGCUUAGUCUUGGACCUCACAAUUUUGAACUGCUCCUUAAGAACUUGACCCAAUUAAGAGAGCUCAAUCUUCACUAUGUGGACAUCUCUUCCACUAUUCCUUCAAAUUUCUCUUCUCAUUUAACAACUCUACAACUUGCAGACACACAGAUACGUGGGAUACUUCCCGAAAGAGUUUUCCACCUUUCCAACUUAGAAUCCCUCGAUUUAUCAGAAAAUCCCCAGCUCACUAUUAGGUUUCCCACUACCAAAUGGAAUAGCAGUGCAUCACUCAUGGAGUUACAUCUCAGUCAUGUGAAUUUUACUGGUAGGAUACCUGAAUCUUUUAGCCAUCUAACUUCACUGCAUAAGUUGUACCUUGAUAAUAACCAUCUUGAAUGACCGAUUUCUCAGUUCUUGAGAUUUGAAAAGCUCAGGUACUUAUCACUUAGAAAUAACAACUUUGAUGGCCAACUUGAGUGUUUAUCCUUUAACAGAAGCUGGACGCAAUUUGUAAUGUUAGAUUUUCGGUCCAAUUCCCUAACUGGUCCAAUUCCAUCCAACGUAAGUGGACAGCAAAACCUAAAAUGGCUUAUCUUGUCAUCAAACCACUUGAAUGGGACUAUACCUUUCUGGAUAUUCUCCCUUCCUUCACUGAUAAUGUUAAACUUGAGCAAUAACAUUUUCAGUGGAAAAAUUCAGGAGUUCAAUUCCAAAACAUUAGCUGUCGUUAUUCUGAGAAAAAAUCAGCUGGAAGGUCCUAUUGCUUCAGCUAUCUGUAAUCUGAAAACAUUGUUUCUACUAGAUUUGAGAAGCAAUAAUUUGGAGGGAACAAUCCCACAAUGUUUGGGUGAGAUGAGUGCAGUUGAGAUUUUGGAUUUAAGCAACAAUAGUCUUAGUGGGACAAUCAAUACAACUUUUAGUAUUGGAAACUAUCUCAGAGUCAUUAGCUUGCAUGAGAAUAAGCUAGAGGGGAAAGUCCCACGAUCUUUGAUCAAUUGUAAAAAUUUGGAACUUGUUAAUUUAGGUAACAAUCAGUUGAAUGAUACAUUUCCAAGAUGGAUGGGAAUCCUACCGAGUUUGAUGAUUUUAAAUUUGAGAUCAAAUAAGUUGCACGGGCCCAUUAAAACUUCAAGGACUGGAAACUUGUUUGCGCAGCUUCAAAUUAUGGAUCUAUCAUCCAAUGGAUUUAGUGGCAAUUUACCUGAAAGUCUUUUUGUGAAUUUGCAAGCCAUGAAGAAAAUUGAUGAGAACAUGAUAGGGAAAGAGGUUUUUGAUUAUGAUGAUUCUUUAACAAUUACAAUAAAGGGAUUGGAUCUUACUUUUGCUAGAGUUUUGUGGAGAAAUAACAUAGUUAUAGAUCUCUCAAGAAAUAGAUUUGAAGGUCCUAUUCCAAACAUUAUAGGACAUCUCAUUGGACUUCGUGUGUUAAACUUAUCUCAUAAUGUCUUGGAAGGUCAUAUACCAGCAUCAUUGCAAAAUCUAUCUGUACUCGAAUCAUUGGAUCUCUCAUCUAACAAAAUCAACGGAGAAAUUCCGCAGCAACUUGCAUCCCUCACAUUUCUUGAAGUCUUAAAUCUCUCUCACAAUCAUCUUGUUGGAUGCAUUCCCAAAGGAAAACAAUUUGAUACGUUUGAGAAUAGUUCAUACCAAGGGAAUGGUGGGUUACGUGGAUUGCCACUCUCAAAACAUUGUGGUGGUGAUGGUAGGGUACCACAAGCAACAAUUCCAGUUGAGCUAGAUCAAGAAGAAGAAGAUUCACCAAUGAUCAGUUGGCAGGCAGUUCUCAUGGGUUACGCUUGUGGUCUAGUUAUUGGACUAUCUGUAAUAUACAUAAUGUUGUCAACUCAAUAUCCAGCAUGGUUUUCGAGGAUGGAUUUAAAAUUGGAACACGGAAUUACUACGAGAAUGAAAAAACACAAGAAAAGAUAUUAGUGUGUAGCGACCUCCAGGUAUUCAACUUGAUCUUUAUCCUUCAAAAGAUUACUUCUUAUAUAUCGAUGUAUUUUCCACCUCCUUCAUCCUUAAAGCUCUUAACUUUAAUUCUUUAUUUUUGAAAAAUGCAGGAUUCAAGUCUACUUAGUUGCUGGGAAUGUAGAUAAAAGCCUUCAUCUUUCAUAGUUUGUGAUGUUUCCAUGAAGUGUUUGUUAUCUUAUGAAUAAAGAUAUCACUUUUCUUACUUUGAGACUCAACCAAAUUUUGUUUUCAUUUGUCUAUGGCAUGUAGAAACAAAUUCGACAGAAACAGAAAUCGAACACAAACUUGAAUCUUCAUAUCAUUCAAUCGGACGAUAUAUGUCAUCACUAAAAACAUUGUAUUUCACUCAACUCUGUCACAUGACAUCAUAACAAAAACAUAGAGCAGUCGACUUCAUGUUCAGAAACAUAAGUCUCAGAUGACAGAGUUCCCCGAUAUCUCUAUUGGUGGAAGGUAGACGGUACUGGUUGAAUUAAUUGAAUAGAACACAAGUUGAC
rnacentral:lncRNA from 1 species